GGAAGUGUCAUUUAGUUCGAGAUUUUAUGAUUGCGAACGUCACCUUGCUUUGCGAACAUUAGGCCUAGGGUUACUAUAAAAAAUUGUGUGAUAGAUAUAUUUGUUUUCUUUUGUGAAGAUGUCUGGAAGAGAUGGUGGAAAGAAAAAACCUGUAAAGCAGCCCAAGAAGGAGCAAAAAACAUUGGAUGAGGCUGAUAUUGAGUUUAGAAAUAAACAGAAAGAACAAGAAAAAGCUAUGAAAGAAGCUGCAUCUUCAGUCAAGGGAAAGAAAGGACCAUUAGGACCUGGAGGUAUUAAGAAGUCUGGAAAGAACUGAAAGGGGACUACUGUGACUGCAAAAUGGAAGAAUUGCAGCACACUUCUGUGGACAGUCUUACGUCAUGUUUGGUCAUUGUUAACAUGUAUUUUUUUUUUUAAAUAAAGUAAUAGCAUUUUAUCUGUGUUUCCAUUCUGUGACUAUGAAUCAAGAUCACUUGUAUCUAAAUAAUAUACAUUUCUUCCACUAUUGUGUUUGAAGAAUGUGAUACGAGGUUUCAGAAAGCGUAAACACAUAAUCAAAUGAAAUGUUAUUGAUGUAAAAUUUUAUUCAAUACAUUAGAAACCACUGUGAAGUUGUUAGUAUAUGUUAUUCUCCGAUGGGUCAGUAGUAAGUUUCUGGACAUCAAAUGCUAAAAUCUAGGAUUUGACAGAAUGUAGAUAGCCCAUUGUGUAGCUUUCCACUAAACUAAGUAAUGUUGUUCAAACCAAACUUUAUUAAUGUAAGAAGGUUUUUGUAUUUGAAACUUUUGAGUUACAAUGUUGUAAUAUUUCUUGCAUGUUAUGCUAUGUUUCGUUUAUUGUUUUUAAAUAGCUAAUUUUUUUUUUUUUUUAAUUAACUGAUUUCUAAUUGGUUAAACAAAUUUGAUGAAUGUGACAUUUUCCUAGUCUAUUCUGUUCUGCCUCUUGUUUUGAAACCAUGAUUGUUAAGGAAUUAUUCUACAUAGAGUAAGCCUUGUUCAACACCAUUUGUCUGAUUUGUACGAAACAGCAUCUUAAGUUAUGUUCUAAAUGCAAGUUGUGGUAGCAAUCUGAUUUUCUGUGAUCCUUUGAGUCAUACAAAAAAGCCAUAAAGAACCGUGACUGAUUUUUAUUGUUACAUAAAAGACGUUUAAUUCAGUAAUAUCCAAUCAGAAGCUGUGCAACAUAACAUAAAUGUUGUAUCACAAAAACGUAAGAAGCUUUUCAUAAACUAUUCAAGAUUGUAAGUAUAUAUGUUUAUGUAGGUAAUACUUAUUGCAAAUUUUGAUUAGACUACCUUUCUGGUCAAAGCAAGCUGUGUCGUGAAGAAAGUUAAAUAAGUCUGUAUCUUGUUGAUUUAAUUUGAGAAUAUGACCCAAUAAUAUGAAUUGACAAUGUAGCAAUUUUAUUGACUGUGAAUGAGUGUAAUAAAGUAAAAUUUAAGCCCAUUUUAUAUUUAGAAAAAAAACUUUUUACUCUAGUUAAGUGCUGAUCAAAAGUAUUGUAAAUUACAAUUUGUCUAUAUUUAGAAAGAUCUGUUUGUAAAUGAAGUUGCAGAAUGAAAAUAGAUCUUGCAUGUAAUAUUUUUAUUCAUAGCUUCUACCUAGUUGAUAAUUUACACUUCUAACUCUUCAUAAAUAAAGACUAUUAUUGGAGGAUUUAAUUCUGGAAAUUUAAAAUCUUUAAGAUGUUUAAUUAUGAGUUUAUAGUUGAUAGAAAAAAAGGGUGGUAAUUCUGAUUUCAUUUCAGUACAUCUUGUCUGGGACCAUACAGUACUCUAAAAAAACAAAAUGUUAUAUUUUGACUUUACAACAUACAUUUUAGGAAAGCUUGCUGUAAUAAAAUAUUAGGUCCAAUCUUUUCCUCGAAGGGUGCUGAAUGAAUCUUGAAAGAUGACCUCUUCUGAGAAUCACCUCCUAGACUAAACAAAAUGAAGUAAAACAUGUUUACACAGCGAAGAAAGACCAAUCGUGCGUGUUUUUGUUCUUCAAAAUACUUCAAAGCAAAAGGAAUAAGAUGAAGUGAAAUUUACACCAAUCUUUUGUAUCAAGCUUUUUAGCCAUUUUUCUUUUUGACUUUGCAGACUCCUUAAUAAUGUUUGAAAAUGAUUCAUGUUUUCCUUCUCAGAUUAAAGAAAAAGAAUACUUUAUACUCCCAUUUUAUUCUAUGGAUGGGAUAACAGUGUAAUGAAUAUUAAUUUAUUACUGCAUUUAUCCUGUUGUUUUGAUCUGAAUAAAUGCAAAAAAUACAUAAAUAAAAUGUACUACUACAUUAUUGAACUUUAUUAUAAGAGGUAUUUUAUUCAUGUAAUGUAGAGUGAAAUACAGAAAAUUUAAAUUUUGUGUAAAGCUAUGUUGAGAUUAUUUUAAUGUAUACUGCAGUACAGAAGGUGUAUAGUUACAUUGAGAACUAUUUCAUAAAUACAUUAUAAAGCUAAAUAACAUUCUUAAAGCUGCAGUAUUGCAUUAAACUAAUAAGAUUUACAAAUAUUUAAGUUGUAUUAAAGGCUACAGUGAAAAUUUUCUCCAUCCAGCACGUGAAGAUGAUGCCUGUAGAGAGUAAUUUAUUUGGCUUUACACUGUUUCCAUUUUUAUAAUAGUCAUUCAUAUAAGGUUACAUUUAGUUGUGAUGUCAUUGAAUAACACCUUAAUCCAAAUUUAUAUCGAUAUGAAUGUAUCAUUUAAAAGACAUGUACUCCCAUUCCAUUAUGGAAUAGCACCUUAAUCAAAAUGUAUACCAAUAUGAAUUUAUCAUUUAAAAUACAUACAGUGCCAUUCCAUUAUUCCACAUUACUUCAGUAAAAAUCAGUCGAAUGACUUAGAGCACAAUUCCCCAUUAAUUA